rnacentral:rRNA from 1 species
GACGAACGCUGGCGGCGUGCUUAACACAUGCAAGUCGAACGAAGUGGCGAACGGGUGAGUAACGCGUAAUCAACCUGCCCUUCAGAGGGGGACAACAGUUGGAAACGACUGCUAAUACCGCAUACUGAAGGAGGGGUUUGCGUCUGAUUAGCUCGUUGGAGGGGUAACGGCCCACCAAGGCGAUGAUCAGUAGCCGGUCGGGGAGGGUGGACGGCCAAAAUGGGACUGGGACACGGGCCAGGCUCCUACGGGAGGCAGCAGGGGGGAAACUUCCGCAAUGGAGGAAAGUCUGACGGAGCAACGCCGCGGGAGUGAUGACGGCCUUCGGGUUGUAAAGCUCUGUUAAUCGGGACGCGGUACCGGAAGAGAAAGCCACGGCUAACUACGUGCCAGCAGCCGCGGUAAUAC